ACUCCUACGGGAGGCAGCAGUGGGGAAUAUUGCACAAUGGGCGCAAGCCUGAUGCAGCAACGCCGCGUGAGUGAUGAAGGCCUUCGGGUCGUAAAGCUCUGUCCUCAAGGAAGAAUAAAUGACGGUACUUGAGGAGGAAGCCCGGCUAACUACGUGCCAGCAGCCGCGGUAAUACGUAGGGGGCAAGCGUUAUCCGGAAUCACUGGGGCGUAAAGGGGUGCGUAGGCGGUUUUCAAGUCAGAAGUGAAAGGCUAUGGCUCAACCAUAGUAAGCUUUUGAAACUGUUAAACUUGAGUGCAGGAGAGGAAAGUGGAAUUCCUAGUGUAGAGGUGAAAUUCGUAGAUAUUAGGAGGAACACCAGUGGCGAAGGCGACUUUCUGGACUGUAACUGACGCUGAGGCACGAAAGCGUGGGGAGCGAACAGGAUUAGAUACCCUGGUAGCACAGAG
rnacentral:rRNA from 1 species